rnacentral:rRNA from 1 species
AACGAACGCUGGCGGCAUGCCUAACACAUGCAAGUCGAACGAGACCUUCGGGUCUAGUGGCGCACGGGUGCGUAACGCGUGGGAACCUGCCCUUAGGUUCGGAAUAACUCCCCGAAAGGGGUGCUAAUACCGGAUAAUGUCUUCGGACCAAAGAUUUAUCGCCUUUGGAUGGGCCCGCGUUGGAUUAGCUAGUUGGUAGGGUAAAAGCCUACCAAGGCGACGAUCCAUAGCUGGUCGGAGAGGAUGAUCAGCCACACUGGGACUAAGACACGGCCCAGACUCCUACGGGAGGCAGCAGUGGGGAAUAUUGGACAAUAGGCGAAAGCCUGAUCCGGCAAUGCCGCGUAAGUGAUGAAGGCCUUAGAGUUGUAAAGCUCUUUUACCCGGGAUGGUAAUGACAGUACCGAGAGAAUAAGCUCCGGCUAACUCCGUG